UACGGGGGGGGCAAGCGUUGUUCGGAAUUACUGGGCGUAAAGGGCUCGUAGGCGGCCAACUAAGUCGGACGUGAAAUCCCUCGGCUUAACCGGGGAACUGCAUCCGAUACUGGAUGGCUUGAGUUCGGGAGAGGGAUGCGGAAUUCCAGGUGUAGCGGUGAAAUGCGUAGAUAUCUGGAGGAACACCGGUGGCGAAGGCGGGUUGCUGGGCCGACACUGACGCUGAUGCGCGAAAGCCAGGGGAGCGAACGGG
rnacentral:rRNA from 1 species